rnacentral:rRNA from 1 species
AGGGUUCGAUCAUGGCUCAGAACGAACGCUGGCGGCAGGCCUAAUACAUGCAAGUCGAGCGCGCCCUUCGGGGUGAGCGGCGGACGGGUGAGUAACGCGUGGGAAUAUGCCCUUCUCUAAGGAAUAGCCUCUGGAAACGGAGAGUAAUACCUUAUACGCCCUUUGGGGGAAAGAUUUAUCGGAGAAGGAUUAGCCCGCGUUAGAUUAGGUAGUUGGUGGGGUAAUGGCCUACCAAGCCUACGAUCUAUAGCUGGUUUGAGAGGAUGAUCAGCCACACUGGGACUGAGACACGGCCCAGACUCCUACGGGAGGCAGCAGUAGGGAAUCUUAGACAAUGGGGGCAACCCUGAUCUAGCCAUGCCGCGUGUGUGAUGAAGGCCCUAGGGUCGUAAAGCACUUUCGCCAGAGAUGAUAAUGACAGUAUCUGGUAAAGAAACCCCGGCUAACUCCGUGCCAGCCGCCGCGGUAAUUC